rnacentral:lncRNA from 1 species
GAUGAAAUGGUAACCCAGUAGCCCAAAAGACAAAGUCCUUCUCAACAAAGCCUAACCAACAGGCAAUGGAUUAUAGUGAUUCAGAGGAAAGAUAAGAAGGUUCCUUUGUCUUGGACCUCCACUAGACAUCAAGGAAACAUGCCAAAAAAGUAAACAACAAAGGCCCCCACACCUUUCCAAACUACAACCCAAAAUAAGUUGAUCUGAGAAACAAAUUGCAAUGCCGCAUGCAAAGCAGAUGUGUCCAAAUUCAUGUAGGACCAGACACAUCCUGAACCUUUCAGUGCAACAGCUGUUCAAGACUUUCUUCAAAAUCAUCCAAGCACAAGGGUUGAUAAAAUACACACAAAAUGGGUUAUAACUGCUGGCUGUGGAGGCUUUCUGCUUUGGAACCAUAGAAUCACAGCUCUCACAGUUGGAAGAGAGACCAUUCACCCCAAUCCUUCAGUUACAGGGAGGAAGCUGAAGUCCCGGGAGGUGAAAUGGCUUGGGAAAGGUCACCCAGCUAUUGAGUGUCUGACAAGAGAGUGAUUCCUGUCCAUCCUCUCCUCCUGGUCAAACCCCCUCCCCUGGGGAAGCAGGGAAACACUCCCUCGGAGCUCUGGUGUUCUGACACUACAUGCCCACAAAGGCUGCUGCCACACCCACAAGGCUCCAUUUACUCAUCCUUCCCCAGCUGAUGCUCAAACCAACCAAAACACCAGGCUCUUUGCUGAAACCUCUGAGAAGGGUUCCUGGCUCCAGGUCAGCCUCAAUGGAAUAAAGGAAGAUCACCUACCACUUCAAACUGAAGAGCUGAAGGAGUUGUAUCAAGAUACAGAGUGCAGCAAGUAUAGGAAACAUUAGAGAAACUGACCUGUCUGGAGAUGGCAAGCUGCAGAGCCAGGUAGAAAGCUGCUUGGUGAUCUGUGGGUGACAGGCUGUGGGCCCUGAAAAAGUAUUUACGGCUAUUAGUACAUGGGAGAGGAGGCCAUUUUUACUUUCCCUAUCAAGCAAGUCUUCUCCACAUUUGCAUUCUUAUACUAAGGGCCCGUAUUUAUUUAACUAUGUAAUGCUUCAUUUAAACUCUUCUUCUUUGUCCACCUACACAUGUAAACCAUUUCCCUCUUACCACUGUAUAAAGGUACAGAAUAGGAGUGCAUUUCUGUGUUUUGUCUAGCAUCUAAAAUGGCAGCUGAAGCUUGUCGGCUUUGCGGAGGGCCUCGAGGUGAAGAAUCCAUAGGCCCUGAGGUCUGAUCUCCCCAGCAGAUGGGUCUCUGUGUCGUGCUGGGACGCAGUGAAGCCAUGUGUGCACUUGGCAAGGCGAUGGCUGCUUUGGUUAAGUUUGGCUUGGCCUUCCUUAAUGCUACUUUAUCCAAAUUUCUAGAUUUCAGAGAAACCAUAUGAAAAUCAAAGACCCAGCUUUGCUUAUAAAAUGAGGUUUGGGUUUUUGGUGAAAAAAGGGAAGAGAAAGGCACUCAUUCAGUCUUUUGAAGCUUCUACAAAAUUCCAUGCCGUUCACUGAUUUAUUGCAGAUAACUGUCGUGUAAGAGUGUGGUGAGACACUAGGCUCAGUUUUAAGAACUGGCCUUUGACGUCAGACAGGAAGGGACCAUACUGGCCUCCUAGCUGAUUGCAAACGUGGUCUUCUCUGCUUCUAUGUGGAAGUCAUUUGUAUUUCAGCAUAAGCAACUCAAAAUUUGACUACAUACUAGACAUAAUUCUGUGUUUAACUGCUGGGAAGAGAAAAACAAACUUCUACUUUCUUUAAAAGGCACCAUGGAGCAGACUAAUUAGGUGGGACCCAGAUAGUAAACAAAACUUCAUGCUGUUCUGUCAACAUUCUGUGAUUAAAGGAGGAUCUUCUACCAGCAGAAAACAAAUUCGAGAUAAAAAAGAAAACCAAAUCAUUAUGGAUUCAACUGUGGCAAACAGGCCAAAGAUGGCUUUCUACAAUAAUAAGGCCUUUUAAUUGGACUGUCUGCUGCAGGGAAGGGAGCUAACAAACCUCCCAGGUGUUUGCCAUCCAGAAAAUAUGCUAAAUUCACUAAUUUAGGUCAUUGUUUAUGCAAAUGUAAUAGCUCAUAUGCAGGUCCAGGGUGAGGCAAAGCUAAUCUCUGUCCUUAUAUUAAUCUUAGGAGCAAAGCACAUAGACUUCCAUUCCAGGGGACUCUUCACUUGGCCUCAAGACAUAGCCUCAGGACUUUUCUUAGCUUAGUUGAAGAGGCUGAAGCUGAUAUUGCCUGUGUUACCCUUUUACAUGUCUUAUUUCUCUUUUUUUUUCUUUUUCUUUUUCAGACAGGGUCUUACUCUAUCACCCAGGCUGGAGUGCAGUGGCAUGAUCACUGCUCAUUGCAGCCUCAACCUCCCAGGGCCCAAGCGAUCCUCCCAUCUUAGCCUCCCAAGGUGCUGGGACCACAGGCGUGCUCCCCACGCCCAGCUAAUUUAUAGAAUUUUUUGUAGACCCGGGGUUUCAACAUGCUAUCCAGGCUAGUCUGGAACUACUAGGCUCAAGUGAUCCUCCCACUUUGGCAUCCCAAAACCCUGGGAUUACAGGCAUAAGCCACCACGCCCAGCUACUAAAUGGCUUAUUUCUAAGGUCCACUCAGUAUAUAGCAGCUUUUAUAAUUUUACAAAUAUUGGCUUUCCAUGAAUUUGUACAUCAAAGAAUAUUUUUCUUUGGUGUUUAUAAAAGUGAGAUUGAAAAAUCAUGGUUUCUCUCAUAAUUAUUCAGGAAAAAUAAUACACAAUUAUGAAGAAAUUUUUAGAUUUAUUUUAUCUUCUUUCACAAAUAAUAAAUUUACAGAACCCUCAAAA